UACGUAGGGUGCGAGCGUUGUCCGGAAUUAUUGGGCGUAAAGCGCUCGUAGGCGGUUCGUCGCGUCGUGCGUGAAAGACCCCGGCUCAACUGGGGAGGGUCGUGCGAUACGGGCGAACUGGAGGCCAGUAGGGGGAUGCGGAAUUCCGGGUGUAGUGGUGGAAUGCGUAGAGAUCCGGAGGAACACCAGCGGCGAAGGCGGCAUCCUGGACUGGUCCUGACACUCAGGAGCGAAAGCGUGGGGAGCGAUCCGG
rnacentral:rRNA from 1 species